rnacentral:rRNA from 1 species
AUUGAACGCUGGCGGAAUGCUUUACACAUGCAAGUCGAGCGGCAGCGCGGGGCAACCUGGCGGCGAGCGGCGAACGGGUGAGUAACAUAUCGGAACGUAUCCUUAAGUGGGGACGAACCUAGCGAAAGUUAGGCUAAUACCGCAUACGCAGGGAACUGGAAAGUGGGGACCGGCAAGGCCUCACGCUUUUGGAGCGGCCGAUAUCAGAUUAGCUUGUUGGUGAGGUAAAGGCUCACCAAGGCGACGAUCUGUAGCUGGUCUGAGAGGAUGAUCAGCCACACUGGGACUGAGACACGGCCCAGACUCCUACGGGAGCAGCAGUGGGGAAUUUUGGACAAUGGGGGCAACCCUGAUCCAGCCAUUCCGCGUGAGUGAAGAAGGCCU